UCUGGCCAUAUCACCCUGAACGUGCCCAAUCUUGUCUGAUCUCAGAAGCUAGGCAGGGUUGGGCCUGGUUAGCACUUGAAUGGGAGAACACUACCCUAAGACACCCCGUAAGGAAACCGGUCUAGCCUAGU
rnacentral:rRNA from 1 species